rnacentral:rRNA from 1 species
UACAGAGGUCCCAAGCGUUUGUUCGGAUUCAUUGGGCGUAAAGGGUGCGUAGGCGGCGCGGUAAGUCGGGUGUGAAAUUUCGAGGCUUAACUUCGAAACUGCAUUCGAUACUGCCGUGCUAGAGGACUGGAGAGGAGACUGGAAUUUACGGUGUAGCGGUGAAAUGCGUAGAUAUCGUAAGGAAGACCAGUGCGAAGGCGGGUCUCUGGACAGUUCCUGACGCUGAGGCACGAAGGCCAGGGGGAGCAAACGGG